UUUAGAGUAACAAUGAUAGCAGCCCCAAUGAGAGAAUUAAAGACCUAGAGAAAUACCUGUGAAAGUUUGUUUUUCAAUGAAAAAUAAAAAUAAUCAGAGAUGAAGAUUGAAUGAAUGAAACAGCUUUGUUGUUAAACCAGAACACCCCAAGACAGAUGUGACUAAACUAGCAGCAUGAUACAACCUAUGAGAACCAUGAGUGAAAAUGUCCAAGCCCUAGAACUGCCAUGGAGAAUUUCGGGGUACAAUCUGUCCUGCUGUGGGUAUUUCAUUUACAAGGGGAGGAACCAAAGAAGAGACGUUGUUUUCUACAGGAAAUUGUCUGUGACAAGCCAGGAUAUGUUCUGGACGAGAGUUCCUGUCUUUGUGUUGCCACUGAACCACGGCCUCUGGAAUGUGAGCUCGCUGAUGUGAACUUUGUAUCAGGAGCUGCCUUUUUCAUCAGUUAUUUGGAAGGAAGAGGAUAGUUUAUCAGAAGAUACUGAAGAAGAUUUCUGUCAGUGCAGGAAGAGUGAAUUUUGCAGCAAAAAUAACUGAACCAAGCAAGUAGCACACUUUUAAAGCAGCCUUCUGGAGUCUGUGCCAGCACUAGUCUGGUGUGAGAAUUGACCUGAAUGUGUAGAGUGGCCAAGCAAUUAAAUUGGUGUGAUCAAGAGGAAGGUAAGUGCUAUCCAAAAGAAGAAAGGACAGCCUUCAGGAAUUCCAGACAACGAAGCAGGAUGAGAUUCUGUUUUCUCAGUUAACAACAAUUCCUAGAAUGGCUUGGAGUGGACUCCAGAUGUGUGUUUCUGAAAUCCCUUUAGCCUUUCACACGGGGCAGGAAACAGUUAUUUCUGUCUGCUUGGGCUAGAGCUGUUGGCAAUGGAAUCGUCAAAACAAGCGAACAAAACAACAGCAGCAGAAAUAAAACCUGUGUUGUGGAAAAGCCAGAAGCGAAGGGGAUUCAUUAUUUUCAUAGCAUGUAACAAACCACAUCCAUUGCAAACUUUGGAGGAUAUAGGGGAAAACAGAGUCCGAACCACUUGCCAGUUACAAUGGAACUUGAAAUAGUAAAAGAAGGGGAUCAGUUCUGCUUCUCAAAAUGGUUUGCCAGUCCUUCCUCUUUGGAGCCAGGAGGUCCUGCUCUGGGACUCCUUUCUGCUGGGAGAGCGUGGUCUGUGUCUGCUAGCAGCAGGAGAGAGGCUGUUCUGCCCAUACAAAUGGAUUAAUUCCUAAUUGGUUUUAGUACUUAUGGGACCCAUCUGUCUGAAGUAGCAAAAGCCUGUGCUGGAAGAAAGAUUAAUUUGUCUGUGAAGAGGAGGAUGAAUAGCAUAGCUGGCUGUGGUGGAAGUGGCUGGCAUUCUUCAGACAGAUCUUUAGGGUAUUGUCACUACUGUAUGCCUCUGAAGCAAUGUGCUGCGAUUGAUUUGAUGACAAUGCAGAUCAAUUGGAGACGUGGUGAGGUCUGGUGUUGUGACUCGAUUGCCAGGAUAUCAUGGUUAUUUCUAAAAUCUCCAUACAAAAUUCAAGAGAAAUAACUGAGCAAGCAGCUUACGUUCAUCAGCCUCUUUUCUCUGAGUCUAAAAAGAAAACUUGCAGUUUUGCUACAGAUCUUGUGGGAGAAGUUGUCUUUUGUCAUGCUUUGUUGUUAAUUCAGUCCUUUUUGUAGUGACUGCAGCUACAAGAGAAUUUAGGUUGGCUGAACAGGAAACUAAUGCGUUCUCUUAGUAUAGAAUUCCUAUCCUUUGAUCAGGUGCCUCUGAAAGGAAGCUGGGUGUUGUCAGACGGCGUGGCCUGGAUAUCAAAGUGCCGUAUUGAUAAGCAGUGGCAAGAUAUCAAGGGCUGAUGAAUGUGAAAGAAGAAAGGAUCCAUGGUUACCUCCAGACUGUAUAAUGAGCUGGGUGUACUGGGCAAGCAGACUGCCUGAUACGAGUGCAUUCCUUGGUGCUGUGGAUAGCCUCAAGUCGGUGAUGCUGGAGAUAUUUCUCCUUUCUGCUCUUAAAGGGGAUAUACUAGGCUGCAAAGCUGUUGGAUGCCAGCGCUGUUAACCUAACCUCCAUUGAGCGUCUCCGGAGAUCACUGCUGUUUACUGAGCUGAUUUUUGACUCUAGCUGUCUUUUGAGGCUGUUUUCAGGACAGAAAAAUAGCGCAUGAAGGUUUUGGCUCUGUUUGAAAGCCAAAAGUUGGAACUCCUGACUUUGACACCUUUCUUGCUGAGGUAUGAGGAGACGUCUUAUAAAGGACACAGCCAAAAGAUGCCUAAUUCUUAAAGCCUCUUGGAUUUCAGUUAAAACUGGAUGGGUUCUGGUUUUGCCCGCGUAGGGGAAGGGACUCCUAACAUGGUUGUGAGGAGCUGAAGCCAACAAAGUAUUGUCCCUCAAUUGAAGGAUUCAGAAGGAAAGUAGAUGAUGCAUUUAAAUAGCAAAUGCAGGGAGAAUUGCUGUGGUUUAACUUCAGCAGUUGAAAUGGAAGAGUAUUUUCCAACCCUUUUAUAGUUGUGAGCUGUAUUGGGGAUCGCUCUUGGGAAGUGUUGAGGCAGUCAGGGUGAAGUCCUCUGGCUAACAGUACUUGCAUGUGGCUGCACUGGUGGUUUGGUACGUGUAAGCAGACGUUCAGAGGAAAAGGUAACCAGACAGAAAGUUAAAAAUGGGGAGGUUAACAAGAACAUUA